GUAACCACUAUUUGUCCAGAAAUUAAAAAUUACAUGGUCCAGUGUAACGGAUUAAUCAUGGGGAUUAAUGGAUUAAGGAGCCAAUUUUGGUUCUCGCAGACAGUUGUACUGGCAAAUCGGUUGGGUCACAAGUCUCAACAACUAAUCGAGGCUAUCUGCACCAUCGGUUAAAAUUAUGGGUCAAAUAUAGUGAUACAGCAAAGGUUCAUUUUAAAGCAAGUUGAAGCGCAUGCUAAUAUGUACCAAAUUAGCUGUUGCACCAAGAUCUGCAAGUCCCUACGAUUGGACAAGAGAUAGAUAAACAUUCAAGGGGCGUCCAUUAAUCACGUGAUCGAUUUUUUAAGUAUUUUGGGUACACAUCUCCUCACCUUAGUGAUACAUAGUGAUAUUCAAAAUUACCCUCCCUGCCCCCACAAAGCAUUACAUGUAUUUUUAGCUAUGAGCAAAAAUGUAAACUUUUUUCUUUUUUUUUUUGAAAAUGUUUGGAUUUUUUUUAAUUCAGGCAAAAAAUUAAUACACAUGUAAUCUUAAUAUACCCCCCCCCCCUUUUACCUAAAAACCUCAUGUUAUUAAUGGACGCCCCCCAAAUUAACUGGCACAUCAUUCAUUUGUUCAAGUUUCUGACGAGGUGAUCAUGGCACGAUAGGCUAGAUAGUGUACUUAUAUUAUAAGGUCGACUCUAGACAAAGAAAGAAUUCUACUGAGCUCGAUCCUCAAGAAGAAAGGAAACUAGUUUGGGCCCAUUCUGCAAAACGAGUGCCUCCUACACGAAGGACUGAAAAUAGAAAGACAGAAAGGAUUGGGAAUGCAGAUGAUUGAUGUGAUAAUAGAAAAUACAGGAAACUGAAAGUCAAAGCAAGGAAACGGAAAUUUGGAAAGAAUAGUUCAUAAGAGUGUAUAAAAAUGGGAAAAAGGUUUUAGUUGAGUAUUUGUGCAGAUAUUUGGAUUACUCGAGCCUCGAAUAGAUCUAUUUACACUCGACAAUAUAAUUUUGCUAUAAGGAUGAUGAAGGCUACACACUGCAAAUGCAAAUAAAUCAUAUUCUAAUAUUUGAAAAUAAUUUACUUAAAUCAGGAGAAAUAUCA